rnacentral:rRNA from 1 species
GACGAACGCUGGCGGCGUGCCUAAUACAUGCAAGUAGAACGCUGAAGGAGGAGCUUGCUCUUCUGGAUGAGUUGCGAACGGGUGAGUAACGCGUAGGUAACCUGCCUGGUAGCGGGGGAUAACUAUUGGAAACGAUAGCUAAUACCGCAUAACAGUAGAUGUUGCAUGACAUUUACUUAAAAGGUGCAAUUGCAUCACUACCAGAUGGACCUGCGUUGUAUUAGCUAGUUGGUGGGGUAACGGCUCACCAAGGCGACGAUACAUAGCCGACCUGAGAAGGUGAUCGGCCACACUGGGACUGAGACACGGCCCAGACUCCUACGGGAGGCAGCAGUAGGGAAUCUUCGGCAAUGGACGGAAGUCUGACCGAGCAACGCCGCGUGAGUGAAGAAGGUUUUCGGAUCGUAAAGCUCGGUUGUAAGAGAAGAACGAGGGUGAGAGUGGAAAGUUCACAAUGUGACGGUAUCUUACCAGAAAGGGACGGCUAACUACGUG